rnacentral:rRNA from 1 species
GCAAGUCGAGCGAGAAAGCACCUUCGGGUGUGAGUACAGCGGCGGACGGGUGAGUAACACGUAAUCAAGCUGCCCUCGAGACUGGGAUAACAGAGGGAAACCUCUGCUAAUACCGGAUGAUUUUGCUGGUUCGCAUGGACUGGCAGGUGAAGGUGGGGAUCCUACGGGACCUUCCGCUUGAGGAGGCGAUUGCGGCCUAUCAGCUAGUUGGCGGGGUAACGGCCCACCAAGGCGACGACGGGUAGCAGGUCUGAGAGGAUGAUC